rnacentral:lncRNA from 1 species
UUUGGACAAGAUAGCAGUGAUCUGGCAGCAUUUGUGUAGAAGGAGCAACUUGAGAAAGGGAAGAUUAUAUGAGACGACAGUACCCCCACCUUUUGGUUCAAGAAUUGGUAAAGGUUUAAAUUUCGAGGACGAAAUUUUUAUAAGAGGGGAAGAGUUGUGACAUCCCGAUUUUCCAAUUCUAUUUUCAAUAAAUUGAGACGGGCAUUUCGUUGGCAC